rnacentral:rRNA from 1 species
UACAGAGGUCUCAAGCGUUUGUUCGGAUUCAUUGGGCGUAAAGGGUGCGUAGGCGGCGCGGUAAGUCGGGUGUGAAAAUCUCGGAGCUUAACUCCGAAACUGCAUUCGAUACUGCCGUGCUUGAGGACUGGAGAGGAGACUGGAAUUUACGGUGUAGCGGUGGAAAUGCGUAGAUAUCGUAAGGAAGACCAGUGGCGAAGGCGGGUCUCUGGACAGUUCCUGACGCUGAGGCACGAAGGCCAGGGGGAGCAAACGGG